CAGCCGUCUCCGCGCAGGGUCCCGGGCUGCGCGUGCGCGGUGCGAGUCGGCGGUGCCACUUUUGUAGUUGGCAGGCGUUGCGUUGCGUCGCUGUAGCUGUGUUCCGUAGGGAGGCUUCCAGCAGAAGGUGUGGCCCAGACUAAUGGUGUGCCUUCCAGCCUCAAGGUCUGCAUUAAAGGCAUGUAUGUGUCUUCCCGCCUCAAGAUCCGGAUCACAGUUCCUCAUGUUGUGGUGACCGCCAACCAUAAAAUUAUUUUGUUGCAAGGCUGGAGAGAUGGCUCGGCAGUUAAGAGCACUGACUGUUCUUCCAGAGGUCCGGAGUUCAAUUCCCAGCAACCACAUGGUGGCUAACAACCACCUUGAAUGAGAUUUGGUGCCUUCUGCUGGCAUGCAGGCAGCAGAAGACUGUAUACAUAAUAAAUAAAAUCUUUUUUAAAAAACUAUUUUGCGGCUACUUCAUAGCUGUAAUUGUUUUUGUUUGUUUUUCGAGACAGGGUUUCUCUAUGUAGCUUUGGAGGCUGUCCUGGAACUCACUCUGGAGACCAGGCUGGCCUCGAACUCCCAGAGAUCCGCCUGCCUCUACCUCCCGAGUUCUGGAA
rnacentral:lncRNA from 1 species